CCCUUAGAUGUUCUCGGCCGCACACGCGCUACACUGAAAGAGGCAACGUGUUUGCCUGAUUCGAAAGAAUUGGGUAACCCCCUAAUCUCUUUCGUGCUGGGGAUUGAGGUUUGCAAUUAUCCUUCAUGAACGAGGAAUUCCUAGUAAACGCAAGUCAUCAGCUUGCAUUGAUUACGUCCCUGCCCUUUGUACACACCGCCCGUCGCACCUACCGAUUGAAUGGUCCGGUGAAAUCUUCGGAUCUGAGAGAUGUCUGAUUAAUUUCGGACGCCUUUUGGAAAAGUUGCUUGAACCUUACCAUUUAGAGGAAGGUGAAGUCGUAACA
rnacentral:rRNA from 1 species